UCGACUGGAUUGAACUAAAACGUAUCGUGCGGUACCUACUGAAGACCGCCGACUACAAAUUGAAACUACAGCCUACAGAAGGUGAACAGUUAGUUCUCAGCGGAUUCUGCGAUGCGGACUGGAGCGGCGAUCCAUCGGAUCGGAAAUCGAAUUCUGGUUACCUAUUUCAACUAGGAACAGCUACUAUUUGCUGGGCAAGCCGGAAACAAACCAGUGUAGCCCUGUCCAGUAUGGAGGCCGAAUAUAUGGCCUUAUCGGAAGCGUGCCGAGAAUUAGUUUGGCUGAGACAGCUGCUCGAAGAAAUAGGAGAAUCCCAACAGGAGCCAACUGUCAUAUUGGAGGAUAACCGUGGUUGCAUCGAGUUUGUGGAGACAGACCGGAAGUCCAGAAGGUCAAAGCACAUAGAUACAAGGAUGCACUACACCAAGGAUCUAAUCGAUAACGGAGUGGUGGUUUUAUACUACUGCCCUACCGAGGAAAUGGCUGCCGAUAUUCUAACAAAGCCAUUAGGGUCGGUAAAACAGAAACGAUUUUCUUUAGCAAUGGGGCUGGUCAGUGCCGAUUGCAGAACUGCACCGGUUCCGUGACGUCGAGGAGGAGUGUCAGCUAUAAUAAAGUAGGGGCAGCGUAUAUUGUUACGCCGUCACUACACACCAGCAGUACUGGCAACCCUAAGAGAAGAACGAGAAGGCAGUGAAUAUUUCCAUUCAGUUAUGUACCCAAAUCUGUAUAAUAAAGACGUAUUGAAACGAGUCUCGCGUGUGUUAAGCGUCCUUUUGCUUUAUCCGUGUCACAUAGCGCAAUUGUCCGGAAUCGUUCCGGUGAAUCCACUGGCCUGUUGUGUGUCGGUUCUGUCCGACGGUCCACUCUGCAUAUCCCAUCAAUAUCUGGUUCUACAAUUAAUUUAUAUCCCGUCUAAAGCAUCCGUAAAUUCCUCACCAUGUUGAUUUGAUUGAAUCACAAGUUAUUGACACCGAUAGAGAACUAUUUAUAUACCGUCAAGGGGCGGAAAGGGAAAUUGGAGCAGCACAGGAUCGGCAGCCGAGGAAAAACGGUGACCGCGAAAUAGCCUAUCACAAAAUGUUGAGAAUGAACCUUGUGCCCCCUAGUUGGCAAAAACCUAAGGAACCGGAGCGGGAGCGAAACAAGGCACUUUCCGCUGAAAACUUCUACGUGACCUUCCUGGAACGAUCGGCUAAUCCGAAACAAGCACCAAUUACGUCUCAGAAAAAUAGCCCGCUUAUACUGAACCUCAGGCUGAACUUUUCCAUAGCCUGCCGGAAAUUAUUCACUUGCACACCAUCCAUGAGUAUUCGGAGGAAUUUGUUACUGGAACGUUACGCUCAUAUGUAAUUCUCCAUGCUGGCCACAAAAGAACUGCCGGAGCAGAAAAACAUGCGACAGCUAGACCGGGCAAGUUAAUUUUUGAUUCAUUAUAAUUUUCAGUUUAUUUUUCUAAUACUUAUUUUAGUUAAACUUUCAUUCAAUUUUAAUUUAGUUAAUGUAACUUAAUAGAUCUGAUUGACCCUAAUUUACUUAAUUCAAAAAGUGUUUGAUAAAAAUGACUUAUUCGACUAAAUACAACCAAUAGGUAACAGUUGUCGAGUAGGUAGGUAUAUACUUUUCUAAUUUUAUCGAGAAAUUUGUACAUUUUUUUUUUAAAUUUCUACAAGAUUCCUUAAAAAAUUCCUCGCGAACUUCUUGAAGCUGUUCUCUAGAAUUAAGAGGAGAGUUUCUUUGGGAUUUCCUUCGAGUAUUCAUAG